GGCAUGAUUGCUCGGUAUUAUACAACAAAUUCUAAAGUUGAAAUCGAGGCUACCGUACGGAAGGUGGUCAGGCAUAUAUUAUUAUGUAAUCUAGGUGAGUAUUUUGGUGAGAGGUGUUCAGAAAGGACCGAGGUCAGUAGAAGAUGGCGAAGAAAGUCAUGUGUCUCAUUGCUACAGUUUCCGCGAAAUGGUCGAAAAUCUGGGACUGAAAUUGGCAUCGAUUUGUUAUGCAAUGCAUUUGCCAGUAAACAGGUGGUGAGAGUUUUGCUCCAGCUGCGAACUUGUCUUCCACCUUAAAUGAUGUGAGGACAUUUUGGCAGUAACUCAGCCGUGCACGAGAAGAUUGAAUACGUUCUCCAUCAGUGACGUCAGACUCGUGUUCCACAGCGGCUGCAUCCAUGUCAAGAUUACAUGUCGCAUGUCAGAGUUCGUCUGCUAGUAAUUUUGCAGGGUUGAAAGUUAAUAUGAAGUGUAAUGUUUACUUUGGGUUGUGAAUCGGCUAUAGUUAUUUUCAAACUAU